rnacentral:lncRNA from 1 species
CUUGGAAUAGGUCUGCGGCUGCACACCGCCCGGACGCCGGGGUUCCUGCGUCCCCCGCCCCCUCUGAUCGCGGCUGGGUAGCCGAGCCGCAGGCAGCUGGGGGCCCCCGAACGCCGCCUCUGCAUCGCGCCGCCCCUGCCCCGGGCUCCGGUAGCUUUCGGGCUUCCGCACUGCCCGCCGCGCCCUGCCCACAGGGAAGCGCUUCCCCAGGCGGCGGCGGUCCUGGUGCGGACCCUCCGGCCGCAGCCAUGUGGGACCCGCGGGCAGCUAGGGUUCCCCCGAGGGACUUGGCUGUGCUGCUGUGCAACAAAUCAAAUGCAUUUUUCAGCCUUGGGAAGUGGAAUGAGGCAUUUGUUGCUGCCAAGGAAUGUCUCCAAUGGGAUCCAACCUACGUGAAGGUAU